rnacentral:rRNA from 1 species
GACGAACGCUGGCGUCGUGCUUAACACAUGCAAGUCGUACGGUAAGGCCCUUUCGGGGGUACACGAGUGGCGAACGGGUGAGUAACACGUGAGUAACCUGCCCACAACUUUGGGAUAACGCUAGGAAACUGGUGCUAACACUGGAUAUGUGCUCCUGCUGCAUGGUGGGGGUUGGAAAGCUCCGGCGGUUGUGGAUGGACUCGCGGCCUAUCAGCUUGUUGGUGGGGUAGUGGCCUACCAAGGCGGCGACGGGUAGCCGGCCUGAGAGGGUGACCGGCCACAUUGGGACUGAGAUACGGCCCAGACUCCUACGGGAGGCAGCAGUGGGGAAUAUUGCACAAUGGGCGCAAGCCUGAUGCAGCAACGCCGCGUGCGGGAUGACGGCCUUCGGGUUGUAAACCGCUUUCAGCAGGGACGAAGCUUUUUGUGACGGUACCUGCAGAAGAAGCACCGGCUAACUACGUG